rnacentral:rRNA from 1 species
GACGAACGCUGGCGGCGUGCUUAACACAUGCAAGUCGAACGAGAAAGCCCUUCGGGGUAAAUACAGUGGCGAACGGGUGAGUAACACGUGGGCAACCUGCCCCAGAGAGCGGGACAACCCGGGGAAACCCGGGCUAAUACCGCAUGAUGCGUCUCCACUUAAGUGGAGCCGCCAAAUGGUAGCUUCGGCCUCCGCUCUGGGAUGGGCCCGCGCCGGAUUAGCUAGCUGGUUGGGGUAACGGCCCACCAAGGCGACGAUCCGUAGCUGGUCUGGGAGGACGAUCAGCGACACUGGGACUGAGACACGGCCCAGACUCCUACGGGAGGCAGCAGUGGGGAUUCUUGCGCAAUGGGCGAAAGCCUGACGCAGCAACGCCGCGUGGGGGAAGAAGGCCCUCGGGUUGUAAACCUCUUUCAGUAGGGACGAAGCUUCCGGGGUUAAUAGCCUACGGGGUGACGGUACCUACAGAAGAAGCCCCGGCUAACUACGUGCCAGCCGCCGCGGUAA